AGGAAAGGGACAAAACCAGGCUUGCUGGUUAUGAGCAAAGAGAUGGCACACCAAAACUUGAGGAGCUGAGUGCUAGUAUGAUCCCACAAUCUGCUCCAUGAAGUGCUGUCUACAAUAAAACA